rnacentral:rRNA from 1 species
UUAGUGGCGAACGGGUGAGUAACACGUGGGCAAUCUGCCCUGCACUCUGGGACAAGCCCUGGAAACGGGGUCUAAUACCGGAUACGACUCGCGCCCGCAUGUGCUCUGGGUGGAAAGCUCCGGCGGUGCAGGAUGAGCCCGCGGCCUAUCAGCUUGUUGGUGAGGUAACGGCUCACCAAGGCGACGACGGGUAGCCGGCCUGAGAGGGCGACCGGCCACACUGGGACUGAGACACGGCCCAGACUCCUACGGGAGGCAGCAGUGGGGAAUAUUGCACAAUGGGCGCAAGCCUGAUGCAGCGACGCCGCGUGAGGGAUGACGGCCUUCGGGUUGUAAACCUCUUUCAGCAGGGAAGAAGCGAGAGUGACGGUACCUGCAGAAGAAGCGCCGGCUAACUACGUGCCAGCAGCCGCGGUAAUACGUAGGGCGCAAGCGUUGUCCGGAAUUAUUGGGCGUAAAGAGCUCGUAGGCGGCUUGUCGCGUCGGUUGUGAAAGCCCGGGGCUUAACCCCGGGUCUGCAGUCGAUACGGGCAGGCUAGAGUUCGGUAGGGGAGAUCGGAAUUCCUGGUGUAGCGGUGAAAUGCGCAGAUAUCAGGAGGAACACCGGUGGCGAAGGCGGAUCUCUGGGCCGAUACUGACGCUGAGG